AUAUAUGCAGUGUUACCUUCAUUUUAGAUGUCAAAAGGGUUUUGCGGCUCCUGCUGUUUUCUUUUGUGUGGGAAACGGGUCCAAAUGGCUCUUUGAGUGUUCAAGGUUGCCGACCCCUGAACUAGACAAACUGUUGAAAAAAGCUUGGAAAAGAUUUUAUGCAACCAGAAUAUAAGUGUAGUUUCCUUGAGGAAAAAAAUGUUUGGAAUAUAUUCCAACACAACAAAUCAUUGCAUUAUUUAUUUAUUUUGUUGGUGCAAAGAGCACUACCCAAAGCAAUAUAAAACAAAAACAUCCCUGCGUGAAGUGACCUGCAGUCUAAAUUCCAGCCAAAGGGGCUACAGCACAGGGAAGAGAGAAAAGGCACAGAAAUUAUGGAAGUUGUGACAAUUAUAAUACUUAAUUCCCACUACUGCUUACUGUCUAACCUCAAAUUAGUGCUUCAAAUACUGGGCUACCCCCUUUCUAUGAUGAAAGAAACAUGCAGGCCAACUUAAAGCAAAAGCAAGCAAGCACGGAAAUUGAACUUUUAACAUGGAUGCUGGGAAAAGUGUGCCCAUUGUGGCUCUUGUAUCACCCCUGUUCCAUUACCCUCUGCUCCUCAGUUCACAAGCUACUCCUUAAACGAGAAUGGAAGCUUCAGAAGGAGAGCUGUUGCAUGUUGUAGAGCUUGACAAACCCUGCCAGUCUCUUUGUCAGCUCAAAUGGGCCCAUUGGAAAUGGCCUCUGCUGUUUCACUGCUGUUACGGAACACUCCCUCUGUACCAUCUGGACAACCAGCCUGAGAGCCACCUGCCUCCUGCUCCCACCACUUCUUCAGGUUCCUGCUUGUCAUCCAACUACUAUCUACAGUAUCUAUAGGUGUCUUCAAAUCCACAAGCAAGAGCACCUGAGAAUGAAGAUGUUAGAAACUGCACACAAGGGGCAGAGAGAGCCUCAGAAGGAAGUGCAAGGUGCUCAGCACCUGGGUACCCUUCCCAUCCCACAUGCUGGAAACCAUUUCUUGUUCUCUCAUUUCCUCCAAUGGGUCUCUAUCAAUUGGACAAUGCUUUGGAAAACAUUCAGGAGAAACUAAUCCUCAAUACCUUCUAAGUUCUGAUAUAAUUGAAGUCGUUACACCUUGGACUCAUACAUCAGCUAGUGGAUCAAAGACCAUCGGGAGGCUGCACUCUGCAUCCCAGGAGGAUCCUGUCAAGAGAGGAUAUUGACCAGGCCCAUUCAUCACCCAGAGAACAAGCUGCUGUGGAGAGCUUGGUUUGCCCGAACCCCUACCAGAAUGAACACCUAUAAGAACGAAAUCUAGUGUCUGAGCUUUCCAUUUUUCUUUUUCCUUCCCAAACCUUUUCCCUCUUUUGGAUGGCAUGUUUGAGGGCUGGGACAGGCUUACUGUUAAGCCUUUUUCAGCUGAAAAUUUAAAGACCCUUCAAAUGAUAAAUUCCAAAGUCCACAUUAGUGUAAUACUUGUUUUGGUCCAAAGAUCACUCUGUAAAACAUGCAAGGUUUUAAGAGCUCCAGACUUCAUUAGGAAAGAUGUUACAAAAAGCUGGUUUGGGAGGGAGGUGAAAUGGGAAAAAGAAAAUAAACCCAAACAUCUGAUUUGGUAAAGUCACAGUGUCUUCUAUCCAGAUCCAAUGAAAAACCAUCCUGUCAGGAUUUUCCUCCUCAUUUCCCACCCUGCCUUUCAAACAUGUUUUAUGUAACACCAUUUCUGGUGAAGAUGGCAGAAGAUCUCAAGUGCUUGGACAUUUUUGUGAGCUUUUGGUUGGCCUAAUAAAGGUACUGUGCUAAGAUGGAUUUGGAAUUUGUCUUACUGUCAAUAUGUUUAUCUUUGUUCCUCUUUUUUGUAUGUAACUAAAUAAACACAUGUGGCUUUUUCUGUCCUACCCUUGCAUGAUAAAUGCUGACUGUUUCAGAAACCAGGUCUUUUCUCAUUUGGAGUGGUUUAUCUAGCAAACUAAGCCAGUUUCAACAUCUGUAUUUUUUCGACAGCAAAGAACAAACUUCAUGGAAGCAAGCAACCCUGAAAUCUUACUCCAGCAAUCUUUGUUGAAUCCCAAUGUUUGGGCUUUAUUCCCUUUUGUUCUUGCAAAACAGUUACCUUCCUGAGUCACGAGUUGUUUGUUAAGGAGUGCCCUUUGGAAGGAUGAACCAGGAACUCAGAUUCCCAGGUGGCUGGUUCAGUUUACCCCAAGGCAGCCUAGGUCAGUUUUGCAAAGAAAUCCCUGUUAAAAAAUCCUCAUGGCCUAGGCUUCACAGAGUGACAGCUUUAGCAGUUGCUGGUACAAGCUCCACAGAAAGUGUUUGCUUCUGGAGCAGGAACGGUGUGAGGAAUGGAGAACCUGAUAGACCAAGUGAAAAAAGAAAGCCCAUUUCUAACUGUGGAUAUUUCAAUAAUAGAUAUGUGAGGUUCUGUUUUACUUAGAGAAUGGAUUUCACUAAUCUCUUCACAAUUGGAACAUAGUUUUUAAUAAGGACUCAUAGCUUCAACUUACCUCCAUACUUCAGACUUCCCUGGGCAUAAUAGAUAGCUUUAAUGUCAAAAGCUGCCACUGCCAAGAUUUAUUUGGAAUUUCUGACUUGCAUUUCUAGUUGGAGCAAACCUAUCCACCUCUUGCUACUAACCAGAAAGCCAGUGUGGUGCAGUGGUUAUGAGCGCAGGAUUGGGACUCAGGCAAUAUGCGUUCGAGUCGCUGAUCGGUAGUGGAGUGAGCUGGGUGACUUUGGGCCAGCCACAAACUCUCAGCCCAACCUACCUCACAGGGUUGUUGGGGUUAAGAUUGAGAGCAGGAGGAGAAUGAUGUAAGCCAUGUUGAGUUCUUUGGAAGAUAAAAGGCAGGAUAUACAGUAUAUCUAAUUUUUAAAAAUAGACUCAAAAGCACAUCACCAUGCGCCUUAGCCACUCUCCUGCAACUCCUACUACAGAGGAGAUACUAUUAUUACUUGCUAGUUAGGAACUGCUUCAGGACAAAUUUCAGAGGGAAGAGGCUUCUGUUUAGUACAAACAUGUCCUUUGUUGCUUUGAAAACUAACUUACGUUGUGAGCCGCCCGAGGCUUCGGCGAAUGGGGCGGCAUAGAAAUGUUUUAAUAAAUAAAUAACAUACUGAGAGAAAAUGCUCAUAAGCAAAAGCUCAGUAAUGGUGUGCUCCUAUGCAGGCAGGACUUUUUCUGUUUAAACAAUUCCCAGCAUUCCCCAGCCAGCCAGACUGACUGGGGAAUGCUGGGAGUUGUAAGAUUUUUUUCUGUCUACAUAUGCAUAGGAUUAGACUCUUAAUCACGUACUUGAAUAUGUUUCUGUAAAACCCAGAGAAAUGCCCAGUUAUUUGCAGGCAAACGCUAGCCAUACCUCUAAAUACAUGCCUACAGAAUUGCAUUCUUAACUUUCUGCUCAGGAAGCAGGCAAAUAGCAUUGAUCAGAAGAGAUCAAAAUAUUAGUGAUCAAGUUUGGAAUACAGAUCUAAGAAAUUAACAGAAAUUCUCACUGGUAACAAAUAUGAAACAUAUUACCUAACAAUAUGAUAUACUAUUUCUUAAUCAUGAUAAAGUGAAUAAAUAACAGACAAUUGUGGCACUAAUCCAAUAGGCCAACUGUAAUGGUGAAAAAGUACUGUUAACUACUACUUCCAGUGUUUUGCUUUUAUACUUCUCUGCUCUUUUUCACCAAUGGCUUUCCAUAGUGCCUGCAUCUCUGAGUUUGCUGUCAGCCAUUCUGUUUCCGUUUACAAAUGAAUUAUAGGAUAUGCUGAUCCCCCUGCACUUUAUUGAGAUAGUCCCUGUCUUUCUACCUGCUACAUUUCCCUCUCGGUCUUGUCAUUCCCCCCCUCCCACCCGCUCUUGUUGUCAACUGUAAUGGAAUCUUCAGGUUCCCCUAAUGUAGCUCAGCCUUCUCCACCAGAGAUGUUGGUUGUGGAAGCAAAUCACAAUUCAGAUAAGGUAAACUUCUAUACUUAGCAGCAGACAUUUUAAUGACAUUAAAAGGCAUGCUUUAACAUAUUUACUAGGCAGAAUUAGGCACUUCUAGGACAUUACUGAAAACAAAAACUAAUUUCUAUUCCAGGCUGUGUAUGUUUACAGUUCCCUUUCCCAAAUGUUUUUGACCAUGAUGGGAGAAGAUACAAUGUGUCUGUAAGUGACAUCAGAGGACUGAUCACUUGAUAUUUUAAUUGUUGAAUUAUAUUAAAUCAUGUUUGUUAUAUUAAUAAAAUAAUUCUAUAUUUAA